rnacentral:rRNA from 1 species
GACAGAGGUGCCAAGCGUUAGGCGGAAUCACUGGGCUUAAAGCGUGUGUAGGCGGAUCGUUAAGUACCUUGUGAAAUCCCCCGGCUCAACCGGGGAACUGCUGGGUAUACUGGCGAUCUUGGGCCACUCAGGGGCAGAUGGAACAGACGGUGGAGCGGUGAAAUGCGUAGAUAUCGUCUGGAGCGCCAAAGGUGAAAACAGUCUGCUGGGGGUGUGCCGACGCUGAGACACGAAAGCCAGGGGAGCGAACGGG